rnacentral:rRNA from 1 species
AGCGAACGCUGGCGGCAGGCUUAACACAUGCAAGUCGAGCGGGCAUCCUUGUGGUGUCAGCGGCAGACGGGUGAGUAACGCGUGGGAACGUGCCCUUCGGUUCGGAAUAACUCAGGGAAACUUGAGCUAAUACCGGAUACGUGCGAGAGCAGAAAGGUUUAUCUGCCGAAGGAUCGGCGCGCGUCUGAUUAGCUAGUUGGUGAGGUUACGGCUCACCAAGGCGACGAUCAGUAGCUGGUCUGAGAGGAUGAUCAGCCACACUGGGACUGAGACACGGCGCGGACUCCUGCGGGAGGCAGCAGUGGGGAAUAUUGGACGAUGGGGGCAACCCUGAGCCAGCCAUGCCGUGUGAGUGAUGACGGCCUUAGGGUUGUAAAGCUCUUUUCUCCGGGACGAUAAUGACGGUACCGGAGGAAUAAGCCCCGGCUAACUUCGUG